GGUUCAAUUUGGGUUUGGGUUCCGGUCUUUUCGGUCUACCUCGACCUGAACCUCCAAUAUCGUUCCGGUCUUUUCGGUCUCCUCCGGCCAUGUUCUCCCCCCCCAAACGGCUUCUAUUCUCCGUUCACCUGUGGCUGUGGCUUUCAUCAUCCUACUCGGAGAUUUCCUUUCCUAGUUCGUGUUAUCAGUUCGAUUCCUCCAACAAUGGCUUCAAAUUCUCUCAAAAUCAUUCACAUUCUUGCAUUGAGGGUAAUAUCAAGCUCACAGAGUCUUCAUUUUCUGUUGCUCUAACUGGACAUGGAACACUUGCCAGUUGAAGUUAUUGGAAACAUACUUUCUCAUCUAAAAUCUGCUACGGUUACUUGUAAGAAAUGGAGAGAGGCUUGGCAGAAUCACCUCCAUUCUUUGACUUCAACUCGAAUGUUUGGCCUUAUCCUGAUGAAAUUUCAACGUGGACUUUGAAGUUAUCAUAACACAAAAAGUACUUCAGACCACUGGACUUCAGAACUUGUCCAGUUUCAUGGAUGAUGAAGUAGAUGCAUUCUUCUCGGUGAUUUCUUGGCUCAUGUAUACGAGAGACGCAAUCCGUUGACUUCACUAUAAUGUGAAGACUAUUCCAAGUAGCAAUGUAAUUGAAAAGUGUGGUGGACAAAAACUUGAAACCUUAGAUUGGCUAAUAAUCCGAUAAGCGGCAUUGAACCGACGUAUCAUAAGUUGGUUGAAAUGUCUAUCUCUCAGUAAUAUCAUCAUAUCUGCAUUAGAUUUGAACCUUCUUCUUGCAGCUUGUCUGAAGCUUGAAAAGUUAGCUUUAAUUAACCCAGAAAUUGUGAUGUCAGAUACGCAGACAGCAAUGGAAGUUAGCAUUUCUUCAUUGAAGGAUAUCUUUGGUGGAAACCUCAGUUUAGAGAAGUUCACACUAGAGGCUGAUACCCUUGAAAUUUUACAUUUAAGAGAAUGUGCUAUAGAUAUCUUUGAGCUCAUUGGAAAAGCAAGUCUUGUAGAUCGACGAUUUUAGUGGUUCCAACUGAAUGUAGGCGAGAACAUAUGAAAUUGCGGACCUCUGCAGUUUUGCUUCGGAUGUGAGGUCCAGCGUAUGAUUAUAAUGAUGAAGAUGUGGAUAUACUCAAUUUCCAUCUCUUUCCCUAAGUUAAGCUAUUUAUAUUUGCGUUAUUAUCCAAGGCAUGGAACCUUUCACCAUAACUUUCGGGAAUAGUUUCAGAUGGAGAAUGUGACCAUAAUAGACUUGGAUGGAGCCACGUUAGUGAUCCCUUCUCUAACCGGGUGGCUAAACUUCUUGAAAGAUGCCCUAAGUUGAAAAAAUUAUAAUUUGUGGGGUUGUAUCGGAGAUUAAUACCCACGAGGAAUGCCAAAACUUAGCUCACUUCAUCACAUAUUUCGUUGAACUUGUGAGAAAACAUCUGCAUAUUGAGGUCCAGUUUGAUUUCGAAUAGCAUUUAGGCAACUUCGAAAGCGCAAAUGUAACUACUUAGGUAUAGUUUCCAGAAUUGUCAUCAUCAUCGAAGUUACGAGAAGUACGUUUUCUUCUCUUCAAGCAACUGUAAAUCCAUAAGUUCCUGGAAAGAAAUAAGAUCUCUUUAUUUUCCUUACCACCCUACUAAUAUCUCUUAUUGGCUUUCCUUCUUUUGAUCUUUUCUUACAUAACAAUGUUCGCACUCGAACACUUUACCGAUUUUGACAUUUUACCGAUGUUAUGCUUUCCUUUGACCCAAGUGCCCGAGGCAUUAAGAGAUAUAUGUAUUGCUUUUUGUCCCCUUGUUAACAAGAAAUAUCUUUUUACUAUUGCUUUCCCAUGAAAUUUUGCUCCAUGGCUGACAUUUAUCCUGCACUCUUUGGGCCAAAAACAACUGAAGAAAUCAAAUCUGCAAUCAUUAUUUUAGUUGUUUUACUCAAUAAUAUCCCCCCAUUUUCUACUUGUUGGUUACUUAUGUAUUUGUAGCUGUUUUUAUGUCAUGGAUAUGCCAAAGCCAAAUAGUUCUCCUUACCAGUUUCAAUUUGUUGCUACAUGGUAAUAGGUGCAAUUUUUACAGGAUUGGAAGCCCUUCUGGCUUCUAUAUUAAAAUGAAAGAAGAGAGAAAUAAAACUUGGUGAUCAAAUUUGAUUUCGUUAGGUUGAUUUUUUUAUUUUUAUUUUGAGGUCUGGAGGAUAGUAUCUAAAUGUUGAGAAAUAGAAGAAGUCGAGAACCCAAGUAGAUAAAAUGAUUGUAAAAGACUAUGAAGUUCAGGUUUUCAACCAAUCGAAACCAGAUAAAAUAUGAUACCGCAAAGGUAACUCAUUCUCUAUUCUAGUCUUUAUAGCUUACAAAUACCUGAAGAUCCAUCAGAUUUUGUGCAGAUUACGCCUAUCUACUUCAAUACAAUACCUCGACGAACCCAUAAGGAAACAGAGUCAAAAUAUUGUACUGCUAGGCCAUUCAUCCGUGCAAGAUUCGAGUCAAUGAAGAAAAUUAUGUCCAGCAGCCCAAAUUCCUGCUAGAUGUUCUGCAGUCUCAGAUUCCGAGUUCUAGAUUUCCUGCAUGCACGAGGUUAGGGAUGGAGCAGUACAUAGCCAGAUGUUUUAGAAAAGGUACCUGUUGCUUUCUCUUCCUCUCAAGCUCUGCCUGUUAAUUGUUACAGGAAAAAAAAAAAAAAGAGGAUAAAAUCUUAUUAGGAUUACAAUAGUUGGCAAUAAAAAUCUGAGAUAUCAAAUGUGUUCACGUGAUACUUACCAAGGCCUGCUUAAGAUGAGCAUUUUCCUCUUUUAAUUGGUUCAACUCUGCUUCUAACUCUACUGUGUAGGCCUGUUUCAAAGUAGGGAUGAAAAUGCAUAUUAGUGUUACAUCUUCUUAUCAUUUUAUUGAAUAACUAUCAAAGCUGAUACUAGAAAAAGAAAAAUGCACCUGUUUUCUAGCUCUAGACCUUGCAGCUGACUCUCUAUUCUUUAUCAUCCUUCUUUGUCUUCUUUCUACAACUUUUUCAACUGGCCCGUCAAUUAUCCUCUUCCUCCCUCUUAACCCACCCAAGUCCAACCCAAAUUGAUUUGAGCUAUCCACCUGAUUUGUACACAUUCCUUCUGGGGAUACUGGACUUACAGGCGCUGCCAACCCCAUCGGUUGAGCAGGUGGAUAUCCUCCUCCCCCACCACCACCUCCGCCACCGUUCACCACUCUUCCACCAUAACAAACUGCAGGUGGAGGCUGUGAUGAGAACACACUGUUUCUUUUACCAUUGCCAGCAAAUCCUGAUGCAUCUCCAAUAGUAGAGCCACCUUGGGGAACUGGUUGGUAUGUCGUAAUGCCACCUGCAGCGGCAUUACCGCUAGCACCACCACCAGCUGCAGAUGUAUUGAGUCCCAUAAUAGGCCUGGAAACAUAACCAGCACCAAUGGCGUGGUUGCUAUUUGGGUACAUACCAUAUUGCUGGGACGGUGGCAAUGGCUGCGGCACUCCUCCCCCAACGCAAGGUUCUCGAACAACUCCAGCUUUGAUCAGAAAAUCCUCCAGUGUCAUCUCCCCAAACGUGGGUUGGCGUGUGGCAGAUUCCGGAUUCUGAGAGUUGGCAUUACCACUGUUGCUAUUUUGAUUCCUGCCCUGCUGACUCUUAUGUAUCUCGGACCAAACCUCAUCCACAGUUUUCCUACACAAGGGUGCAGGAAGUGUAAGCGAACCUUGGCGAGGUAGGCUUGCUUGUUUCUCUAUGUUGCGUUUCUCAAUAGACGCUCCGCUCACCGGAAAGUGGCCCUGAGCAUUGCUCAAUGCUGCCACGGCAGCAACCGCGGACGUCCCCGAUUGACUGGCGUUAAUUGCUUGGUUUUCCUCUGCUGUCCAAAUGCUGGUGAGGAACUCAUCCAUGUUCAUGGACCCAAAAUUUUUGCCACUCUCACAAAGAGUAUGUUGGAACUCAUCCAAUGUGAGUGAGUAAAUGGAGGAUUGCCUUCCAAGAGACGAGAAUCUAUGGUGCUUGAGCUGUUGUUCAGACUGUAAUGGCGAUUCCACUUCAUCGUGUGAAAUCAUUUCUGAUUCUUUUACAACCAUUGUUUCUUUUUCUGAAGUCUAUUUCAAAGAUCAGUGACGAGCUUGAAGCUGCAACUUCAAUGAAGGACCAAAAAAAAAAAAAAAAAGGAAAGAUAUGAGACUUAA